AAGGAUGGCUCAGUGACUAAGAAGCACAUACUGAUCUUGCAGAAGACUCAGGUUCAGUUGUCAGCAUACUCAUUGGGUAGUUCUA
ensembl:miRNA Mir5124b microRNA 5124b